CUUAUAGUCCCUGCAUCCAAAAAGCUUGUCUUACAUUUGUCCAGAUACGGAUAUAUCUAGACACGUUUUAGUGCUAGAUGCAUCCAAUCAAGACAAAUCGAAGACAAGCUUUUUGGGACGGAGGUAAUACUAC
rnacentral:pre_miRNA from 1 species